GAGAGAGAUUAGAGUUCCUAAAGAGCAUCAACGAGAUUGGAAACCCUAACUCUGUCCUCCCCUUUCUUUUUGAUUUCAGAUACAGUUUUCUUCCAACUUCAAUCCCUGCCAUUCUCAUCCUCUUCCUCUGCUGCAAAUUUCGUACGCCUCCGCCGCCGCCGCAACACGCCUCCCCCGCCGCCGCGCCCUGCUUCCGCCGCCGCUCCCUGCUUCUUUUCAUUCUCACAUUAGAAGCAUUCAGAGAAGAAAAGGUCCGAUAGGGUUUUCAUACAAUUUCAAUUCCUGCAUUUCUCUCUUCCUCUUCCUCUGCUACACAUCUCACUAGCAUAGUCUCGCCGCCGCAAUACGCCGCAACCUGCGACUGCCGCCGCGCAACCUGCCGCCCCCGCGCAAGACGCUGCCCCCGCCGCGCAAGAAUGCUGACAGACAUUCUCAAGGAUGACAGCAAUUCUAACUCUGUAUGUUCAACUUCUUCUUCUUCUUCAAUUCAUAUCUGACACCGUACCAUUCACGGAUUUCCAUCCUUUUUCCUCAGCUCCGUCCUCUGUACAAUUCUGAUUUCACCAGGUCUUUGCCAAUAAAUCAAUUGAAGAUUUGAUGGGAUCUAACUCUGAGGUUCACUUCUCUGGAUUUCACAUGGAUUGCCUAGAGCAAAGAAAGGCCAGCAUGGAGCAACCAACAACUUCAGAAGAUGAUUUGUAUAAACAACCUUUCAUUAUAGGUGUGUUUUUGAAUGGCAGGCUGCCACUGUAGUCAUAAAAUCCACCAACUUAUUAGUUGGAUCUUGGAACUCAAUGAUCAUGCUGGUGCAUAAUAUCAUUCAAUGAUCACUUCACUUUUUGAUAUGCUAGUAUAAGUUAUACUCUUUUGCUUUAAAUUUUGCAAAAUGGUGUCAAAUCAUAUACUUUGUCAUUUCUUUUGAAAAGUAAAUUGUCAAUGAAAUUUGUUGAACUUUUUCGUUCCUCUCUUUUCUCUUAUCAAAGUUGUUAACACUAUAAAGAGUUGCAUCCCAGCAUUGGUACUUGAUAGUGUAUUAAGAGAAUGAUGCGUUUGCUUUCAA